CUUCAGUGAAGAAACGAUGACGAGUCGGAACAGGUCUCAGUCUGGUUCUGCUGGUUCCUGGUCCAGGUCCACGUUCUGUGGUCCUGCUCCGGGUCCUCAGAGCCACGAGUCCCUUUUGGUUGAAGACAUCGAGGCAUUUGUCUGAGAAGG